rnacentral:tRNA from 1 species
GGGGUUGUGGCUCAGUGGUACCAGCACUUGCCUAGCAUGUAUGAGGCCUUGGGUUCGAUCCUCAGCACCACA